rnacentral:rRNA from 1 species
AUUGAACGCUGGCGGCAGGCUUAACACAUGCAAGUCGAGCGGGGGAAGGUAGCUUGCUACCGGACCUAGCGGCGGACGGGUGAGUAAUGCUUAGGAAUCUGCCUAUUAGUGGGGGACAACAUCUCGAAAGGGAUGCUAAUACCGCAUACGUCCUACGGGAGAAAGCAGGGGAUCUUCGGACCUUGCGCUAAUAGAUGAGCCUAAGCCGGAUAAGCGAGGUGGUGGGGUAAAGGACUACCAAGGCGACGAUCUGUAGCGGGUCUGAGAGGAUGCUCCGCCACACUAGGACUGAGACACGGCCCAGACUCCUACGGGGGGCAGCAGUGGGGGAUAUUGGACAAUGGGGGGAACCCUGAUCCAGCCAUGCCGCGUGUGUGAAGAAGGCCUUAUGGUUGUAAAGCACUUUAAGCGAGGAGGAGGCUACUUUAGGUAAUACCUAGAGAUAGUGGACGUCACUCGCAGAAUAAGCACCGGCUAACUCUGUGCCAGCCGCCGCGGUAA